rnacentral:tRNA from 1 species
UCCUGGCUCAGAGGGUAAAGCGUCUGCCCGAAAUACAGAAGACCCAGGUUCGAUCCCUGGGUCGGGAA